GGGGGCCGGGUGGGCCGUGCUGUGUGGGGAGGGAUGUGAGCUGCGCUGGGCGGCUUCGCCGGAGUCAGGACGGCCGCUAUAGCGAAGCAGCCUGGCGUCUCGAAGGACCUCCUGCUCACCAGGAGCCCCAUGCUGGCGGAGGAGGCUGUCGGUCCUUCCACCUCAGCAGAACGUAUCUUCUGAAGAUAUUUGAACAUGGUAGCCAAGAAGGCUGAACAGUCUUUGAAGAAACAGCGGACCAUGCAGCUGAAGGGGUGAACUGAAUCCUUGCACAUCCUUCAGCUGAAUAAGCCCACCCUUCUGAAGAGUUUGGUUCAGGAAAUGUUUAAAGAAAACCUAAGAAAGGCUGAGUACACAGAGCUCCUGUUACCCUUCCUGAGCCUUGACUCCACAUUUCACCAGAUUUUCAGGCUUUGUACAUCAAACAGACUUCAGUGAAGUUAUUCGUGCCUCACACAAGUGGUAAGAGGAAAGAGAAGAAAGUUAUUCAUAUUUAAUGCUAUUUUGUGCCAGAUGUUUUGCUGGUAGAAAUCCAUAGCUCCACAGGCACCAAUUUCUUCAGGAUCUGGAAUGUCUGGCCCAAUUUCUUUCUCAUUCUGGAUGGUCUGUGAAAGAAACCACUUUAUUUUGCAAUAUUGAAUAUUCUUGCUGGGAAGUUAUAAGCAAAAACAAAAUAAUGAGAGACAGGGUCUCUAAUAAGCUUCCUGUCACAUGAGGCUCUGGUUCUAUUGAAGCAUAUGUGUUUGCUGACUUGCUUCCAAAAGGUUUGUUGAGUGGUGGUGAUUAGUUUCUGUUGUACUGAUGUUAUCUCUCUGUAGUCUCAUUCAAUACAAGUAGUUCUGUAAACAGUGAAGUCUUUUUUUCCUACGGAUUUGUACCUUGGAUUGUGUUUCAGCAUGGAUUCUCUGAUGUUUAAUGGGGAUGGAGUUCAUGUUUAGCCAAUUUCUUCAAUGAGGGAUGAAUAAUCUGUCUUUUUGGCCAUCUAUUUUCACAAAAUUUGCUGGAAUUAAAUAUCUUCAACGCCCUCUAUCAAAGUUGACUGGGAUUUAUGAACAAGUUUUGGAGUUAUUUGGGGCUGUCCAAUGUAGAUAAGAGUCUCAUUUUCUUACAAAAACAGAAUGUAAAAAUGCAUUCUUAAAGUAUUUUGUCCUUGUAUACUACCUGCUUGAUUCUAUUCUACUUGUGACCAGUCACAUAGGAUAUGUUUUAUUUGUAAAGCUGUAUGAAAGUAUGAUGUGUUUUUUUGCCCUGUUGAGUGCAUAUUAAAGCAUCCUUAGUUUAUUUUUGUUA